UACGAAGGGGGCUAGCGUUGCUCGGAAUCACUGGGCGUAAAGGGCGCGUAGGCGGGCUUUUAAGUCAGGGGUGAAAUCCUGGAGCUCAACUCCAGAACUGCCUUUGAUACUGAAGAUCUUGAGUCCGGGAGAGGUGAGUGGAACUGCGAGUGUAGAGGUGAAAUUCGUAGAUAUUCGCAAGAACACCAGUGGCGAAGGCGGCUCACUGGCCCGGUACUGACGCUGAGGCGCGAAAGCGUGGGGAGCAAACAGG
rnacentral:rRNA from 1 species